GACGAACGCUGGCGGCGGGCUUAACACAUGCAAGUCGAGCGGAAAGGCCCGGCUUUGGGGCGGUCGUCGAGGUGCGAACGGGGGAGGAACACUUGUGUAAGCAACCGUUGACGUUGGGAGAACGUCAUGAAACUUGGGCUAAUACGGGGUAGGAGCUCCUGGUGCAUGGUGAGGGCUCGUAAGUUUCGGCGGUUGGGGAGGUACUCGCGUCUUAUCAGCUUGAUGGUGAGGUAGUGGCUUACCAAGGCUUGGACCCGUAGCCGGCCUGGGAGGGUGAGAGGCCCCAUUGGGACUGAGCUACGGCCCAGACUCCUCCCCGAGGCAGCGGUGGGGAAUAGUGUCCUAUGGGCUGAAGCCUGCUGUAGUCACGCCGCGCGCGGGAUGACGUCAUUCGGGUUGUAUUCCGCUUCCGCCUGUGACGAAGAGUGAGUGACGGUAAUGGGUAAAGAAGCACCGGCUAACUACGUG
rnacentral:rRNA from 1 species